rnacentral:tRNA from 1 species
GGAGGGGUUCCCGAGUGGCUAAAGGGAUCAGACUGUAAAUCUGACGUCGAAGACUUCGAAGGUUCGAAUCCUUCCCCCUCCA